rnacentral:rRNA from 1 species
UUAUUGGGCGUAAAGGGUGCGUAGGCGGCCUGUUAAGUAAGUGGUUAAAUUGUUGGGCUCAACCCAAUCCAGCCACUUAAACUGGCAGGCUAGAGUAUUGGAGAGGCAAGUGGAAUUCCAUGUGUAGCGGUAAAAUGCGUAGAUAUAUGGAGGAACACCAGUGGCGAAGGCGGCUUGCUAGCCAAAGACUGACGCUCAUGCACGAAAGCGUGGGGAGCAAAUAGGAUUAGAUACCCUAGUAGUCCACGCCGUAAACGAUGAAUACUAAGUAUUGGGGAAACUCAGUGCUGCAGCUAACGCAAUAAGUAUUCCGCCUGUGGAGUAUGCACGCAAGUGUGAAACAUAAAGGAAUUGACGGGGGCCCGCACAAGCGGUGGAGUAUGUGGUUUAAUUCGACGCAACGCGAAGAACCUUACCAGGCCUUGACAUCCCUUGCAAAGCUGUAGAGAUACAGUAGAGGUUAUCAAGGAGACAGGUGGUGCAUGGUUGUCGUCAGCUCGUGUCGUGA